rnacentral:rRNA from 1 species
AACGAACGCUGGCGGCGCGCCUAAUACAUGCAAGUCGAGCGAGAAGGUGUAGCAAUACACUUGUAAAGCGGCGAACGGGUGAGGAAUGCAUGGGUAACCUACCCUCGAGUGGGGAAUAACUAGCCGAAAGGUUAGCUAAUACCGCAUACGUUUCCGGAACUACGGUUUCGGAAAGAAAGCAAUACCGUGGGUAUUGCGCUCCUGGAUGGGCUCAUGUCCUAUCAGCUUGUUGGUGAGGUAACGGCUCACCAAGGCUUCGACGGGUAGCUGGUCUGAGAGGACGAUCAGCCACACUGGCACUGCGACACGGGCCAGACUCCUACGGGAGGCAGCAGUAAGGAAUAUUGCGCAAUGGACGAAAGUCUGACGCAGCGACGCCGCGUGGGGGAUGAAGGUCUUCGGAUUGUAAACCCCUUUCGGGAGGGAAGAUGGAGUGGGUAACCACUUGGACGGUACCUCCACGAAGCAGCCACGGCUAACUUCGUGCCAGCAGCCGCGGUAA